rnacentral:pre_miRNA from 1 species
CGUAUACUCCCUUCGUCCGAAAAUACUUGUCAUCAAAAUGGACAAAAAGGGAUGUAUCUAGAACUAAAAUACAUCUAGAUACAUCCCCUUUUAUUCAUUUUGAUGACAAGUAUUUCCGGACGGAGGGAGUAGUCU